UACAACGUUUUGAUUCUUCGUCUUAUUUAAAAUUUUUUUACGAUUAAUAUUUUUAUUCUUACUAGAUGACAAAACAUGAAUAAUACUUUAUACGUGACUAAUUUUUUAAGCUUUUGUAUAAAUUUUUUAAAUAAGACGACUGGUCAAACAUUGGGCACGGAAA
rnacentral:pre_miRNA from 1 species